GAUGAACGCUAGCUACAGGCUUAACACAUGCAAGUCGAGGGGAAACGACAUCGAAAGCUUGCUUUUGGUGGGCGUCGACCGGCGCACGGGUGAGUAACGCGUAUCCAACCUGCCCGCCACUUGGGGAUAACCUUGCGAAAGUAAGACUAAUACCCAAUGAUAUCCCACGAAGGCAUCCGAAUGGGAUUAAAGAUUUAUCGGUGAUGGAUGGGGAUGCGUCUGAUUAGCUUGUUGGCGGGGUAACGGCCCACCAAGGCAACGAUCAGUAGGGGUUCUGAGAGGAAGGUCCCCCCACAUUGGAACUGAGACACGGUCCAAAACUCCUACGGGAGGCAGCAGUGAGGAAUAUUGGUCAAUGGGCGAGAGCCUGAACCAGCCAAGUAGCGUGCAGGAUGACGGCCCUAUGGGUUGUAAACUGCUUUUAUAAGGGAAUAAAGUGAGCCUCGUGAGGCUUUUUGCAUGUACCUUAUGAAUAAGGACCGGCUAAUUCCGUG
rnacentral:rRNA from 1 species